AUGAACGCUGGCGGCGUGCUUCACACAUGCCAGUCGAACGAAGCACUUUAUUUGAUUUCCUUCGGGACUGAUUAUUUUGUGACUGAGUGGCGGACGGGUGAGUAACGCGUGGGUAACCUGCCUUGUACAGGGGGAUAACAGUUGGAAACGGCUGCUAAUACCGCAUAAGCGCACAGCAUCGCAUGAUGCAGUGUGAAAAACUCCGGUGGUAUAAGAUGGACCCGCGUUGGAUUAGCUAGUUGGUGAGGUAACGGCCCACCAAGGCGACGAUCCAUAGCCGACCUGGGAGGGUGACCGGCCACAUUGGGACUGAGACACGGCCCAAACUCCUACGGGAGGCAGCAGUGGGGAAUAUUGCACAAUGGGCGAAAGCCUGAUGCAGCGACGCCGCGUGAGCGAAGAAGUAUUUCGGUAUGUAAAGCUCUAUCAGCAGGGAAGAUAAUGACGGUACCUGACUAAGAAGCACCGGCUAAAUACGUG
rnacentral:rRNA from 1 species